rnacentral:tRNA from 1 species
AGGGAUGUAGCUCAGAGGCAGAGUAUUUGCCUAGUCUGAGCAAGGACCUGGGUUCUAUUCCUAGCAUAUCUU